UUUGUUUAAUUGAUUUUGUCAAAAUACUCUCCUUAUCUCUUGUAACAAACUAGCGAAAUGAUUGAAUCUGAGGAUCGUAGUCAACUUUAUCGAUAGGCUAUUUGAACUUAAUUUAAAGUCUUUUCAAAGCUCAUAAACCAACCUUGAAGUCAGCCACAUCGUAUCUCUUCGUACUAUUUGUGUGUUUUGCUCAAAACAAUCACCAGCGCGCCACCAUAAACGAAGUCCGACGACCUUCCAUCACGGCAAUCAGCGUUCCGUUUCGACGUAACGUAACGGUCCCUGGAUAAUCGAUCGUUUCCGUUCAUGUCAUUGAGCCAUCUUCGUUUGCUUUUUCUAAGCGGCAGCGGACCUCAGACAUAUUGUUAGAAGAUCUUUGUUGAAUCUCCAUUAUUUUGGUCAACUAUCCUUCUCUAUGGCCGUUGCUUUAACCCGGUUCGAUAGCUCUAGUCGGUUGUCUUUAAUAAACUCCCAUCAGCUUCUAAGGUUUGCCUACAUAUAAUGGACGAUUUCGUUUUUGUUUUGUGUUGCUUGCUGAAAUAAGGUGCUCCUGAAGAAAACUGAAUGUCAACUAAAGGAAUAUCGGAGUAGCCUGGCACUAGAGGAGAAGGCUACUCGUCCCUGCCACUGAGAAACACGGAGUUAGUAUGUUUGUGUACGUAAGUAAACCAUAUUUCAAAAAUCCUAAAAACUGAAAAAAUUAAAAAUUAAAAAUAUGUUUGUUUUUAAAUUUGUCAAAAAUUCAAAAAAAAAAUUCAAAAAUAUGUUGAUUGA
rnacentral:lncRNA from 1 species